rnacentral:rRNA from 1 species
CGUAGGGUGCAAGCGUUAAUCGGAAUUACUGGGCGUAAAGCGUGCGCAGGCGGUUAUGUAAGACAGAUGUGAAAUCCCCGGGCUCAACCUGGGAACUGCAUUUGUGACUGCAUAGCUAGAGUACGGUAGAGGGGGAUGGAAUUCCGCGUGUAGCAGUGAAAUGCGUAGAUAUGCGGAGGAACACCGAUGGCGAAGGCAAUCCCCUGGACCUGUACUGACGCUCAUGCACGAAAGCGUGGGGAGCAAACAGGAUUAGAUACCCUGGCAGUCCACGCCCUAAACGAUGUCAACUGGUUGUUGGGUCUUCACUGACUCAGUAACGAAGCUAACGCGUGAAGUUGACCGCCUGGGGAGUACGGCCGCAAGGUUG